rnacentral:rRNA from 1 species
GAUGAACGCUGGCGGCGUGCCUAAUACAUGCAAGUCGAGCGAACAGACGAGGAGCUUGCUCCUCUGACGUUAGCGGCGGACGGGUGAGUAACACGUGGAUAACCUACCUAUAAGACUGGGAUAACUUCGGGAAACCGGAGCUAAUACCGGAUAAUAUAUUGAACCGCAUGGUUCAAUAGUGAAAGACGGUUUUGCUGUCACUUAUAGCUGGAUCCGCGCCGCAUUAGCUAGUUGGUAAGGUAACGGCUUACCAAGGCAACGAUGCGUAGCCGACCUGAGAGGGUGAUGGGCCACACUGGAACUGAGACACGGUCCAGACUCCUACGGGAGGCAGCAGUAGGGAAUCUUCCGCAAUGGGCGAAAGCCUGACGGAGCAACGCCGCGUGAGUGAUGAAGGUCUUCGGAUCGUAAAACUCUGUUAUUAGGGAAGAACAAAUGUGUAAGUAACUAUGCACGUCUUGACGGUACCUAAUCAGAAAGCCACGGCUAACUACGUG